AGCAGCCGCGGUAAUUCCAGCUCCAAUAGCGUAUAUUAAAGUUGUUGCAGUUAAAAGCUCGUAGUUGAAUUUCGGGAUCAAUAUGUUGGUCGUGCCUCGGUACGUACUAGCAUAUUGGUUUCUCCUUUCUGAAGAACCAUGAUGUCAUUUAUUUGGUGUCGUGGGGAAUCAGGACUGUUACUUUGAAAAAAUUAGAGUGUUUAAAGCAGGCUCACGCUUGAAUACAUUAGCAUGGAAUAAUGAAAUAGGACGUUUGAUUCUAUUUUGUUGGUUUCUAGGAUCGACGUAAUGAUUAAUAGGGAUAGUUGGGGGCAUUAGUAUUCAAUUGUCAGAGGUGAAAUUCUUGGAUUUAUUGAAGACUAACUACUGCGAAAGCAUUUGCCAAGGAUGUUUUCAUUAAUCAAGAACGAAAGUUAGGGGAUCGAAGACGAUCAGAUACCGUCGUAGUCUUAACCAUAAACUAUGCCGACUAGGGAUCGGAUGAUGUUAAUUUUUUAAUGUA
rnacentral:misc_RNA from 1 species